UAAAGCGCGCGUAGGUGGUUUGUUAAGUUGGAUGUGAAAUCCCCGGGCUCAACCUGGGAACUGCAUUCAAAACUGACUGACUAGAGUAUGGUAGAGGGUGGUGGAAUUUCCUGUGUAGCGGUGAAAUGCGUAGAUAUAGGAAGGAACACCAGUGGCGAAGGCGACCACCUGGACUGAUACUGACACUGAGGUGCGAAAGCGUGGGGAGCAAACAGGAUUAGAUACCCGGU
rnacentral:rRNA from 1 species